rnacentral:rRNA from 1 species
AUACGUAGGGGGCGAGCGUUGUCCGGAAUUACUGGGCGUAAAGAGCUCGUAGGUGGUUUGUCGCGUCGUCUGUGAAAUUCCGGGGCUUAACUCCGGGCGUGCAGGCGAUACGGGCAUAACUUGAGUACUGUAGGGGAGACUGGAAUUCCUGCUGUAGCGGUGAAAUGCGCAGAUAUCAGGAGGAACACCGGUGGCGAAGGCGGGUCUCUGGGCAGUAACUGACGCUGAGGAGCGAAAGCAUGGGUAGCGAACAGGAUUAGAUACCCUGGUAGUCCAUGCCGUAAACGGUGGGCGCUAGGUGUAGGGGUCUUCCACGACUUCUGUGCCGUAGCUAACGCAUUAAGCGCCCCGCCUGGGGAGUACGGCCGCAAGGCUAAAACUCAAAUGAAUUGGCGGGG